UACGUAGGUGGCGAGCGUUGUCCGGAUUUACUGGGCGUAAAGAGCGCGCAGGCGGCCUGAUCAGUCGAAUGUGAAAGCCCCCGGCUCAACUGGGGAGGGUCAUUCGAUACUGUCAGGCUAGAAGGCAGGAGAGGGAAGUGGAAUUCCCGGUGUAGUGGUGAAAUGCGUAGAUAUCGGGAGGAACACCGGUGGCGAAGGCGACUUUCUGGCCCGGUACUGACGCUGAGGUGCGAAAGCGUGGGGAGCAAACAGG
rnacentral:rRNA from 1 species